rnacentral:rRNA from 2 species
CACGUGGGAACGUACCCUUCAGUUCGGAAUAACUCUGGGAAACUAGAGCUAAUACCGGAUACGGCCGAGAGGCGAAAGGUUUACUGCUGAAGGAUCGGCCCGCGUCCGAUUAGCUAGUUGGUGAGGUAACGGCUCACCAAGGCGACGAUCAGUAGCUGGUCUGAGAGGAUGAUCAGCCACAUUGGGACUGAGACACGGCCCAAACUCCUACGGGAGGCAGCAGUGGGGAAUAUUGGACAAUGGGCGCAAGCCUGAUCCAGCCAUGCCGCGUGAGUGAUGAAGGCCCUAGGGUUGUAAAGC